ACAUUUAAAAAUUCCUACCAGGUCUUACAGCGACUGCAGGCAUGAAUUCAUCAAGCAGAGUCAAGCUAGAUAGGAACCCCAAAAGAGGGGGAGAAGAUAGGAUGAGUCAUUUAAUGUCUAAUAAUGAUGUAGAAGGAUAACAUUGUUUUCCCGAACCAGAAAGACCACCUGCGAGAAGGUACAAUAGAUUGAUAAGUUGUGCUGCAGGAAGAAUAGAAAGAGAGA